GCAUAUCAAUAAGCGGAGGAAAAGAAACCCAACAGGGAUUGCCCUAGUAACGGCGAGUGAAGCGGCAACAGCUCAAAUUUGAAAUCUGGCGUCUUUGGCGUCCGAGUUGUAAUUUGCAGAGGGCGCUUUGGCAUUGGCAGCGGUCCAAGUUCCUUGGAACAGGACGUCACAGAGGGUGAGAAUCCCGUACGUGGUCGCUAGCCUUUACCGUGUAAAGCCCCUUCGACGAGUCGAGUUGUUUGGGAAUGCAGCUCUAAAUGGGAGGUAAAUUUCUUCUAAAGCUAAAUACUGGCCAGAGACCGAUAGCGCACAAGUAGAGUGAUCGAAAGAUGAAAAGCACUUUGGAAAGAGAGUUAAAAAGCACGUGAAAUUGUUGAAAGGGAAGCGCUUGCAGCCAGACUUGCCUGUAGUUGCUCAUCCGGGUUUUUACCCGGUGCACUCUUCUAUAGGCAGGCCAGCAUCAGUUUGGGCGGUUGGAUAAAGAUCUCUGUCAUGUACCUCUCUUCGGGGAGAACUUAUAGGGGAGAUGACAUGCAACCAGCCCGGACUGAGGUCCGCGCAUCUGCUAGGAUGCUGGCGUAAUGGCUGUAAGCGGCCCGUCUUGAAACACGGACCAAGGAGUCUAACAUCUAUGCGAGUGUUUGGGUGUCAAGCCCGAGCGCGUAAUGAAAGUGAACGGAGGUGGGAGCCUUUCGGGGUGCACCAUCGACCGAUCCUGAUGUCUUCGGAUGGAUUUGAGUAAGAGCAUAGCUGUUGGGACCCGAAAGAUGGUGAACUAUGCUUGAAUAGGGUGAAGCCAGAGGAAACUCUGGUGGAGGCUCGCAGCGGUUCUGACGUGCAAAUCGAUCGUCAAAUUUGGGCAUAGGGGCGAAAGACUAAUCGAACUAUCUAGUAGCUGGUUCCUGCCGAAG
rnacentral:rRNA from 1 species